rnacentral:rRNA from 1 species
UACGGUGGGGGCAAGCGUUGUUCGGAAUUACUGGGCGUAAAGGGUUCGUAGGUGGCUGGCCAAGUCAGACGUGAAAUCCCUCAGCUUAACUGGGGAACUGCGUCUGAGACUGGUCAGCUUGAGUGCAGGAGAGGAACGCGGAAUUCCAGGUGUAGCGGUGAAAUGCGUAGAUAUCAGGAGGAACACCGGUGGCGAAGGCGGGUCUCUGGGCCGAUAUUGACGCUGAGGAGCGAAAGCGUGGGGAGCAAACAGG